rfam:Triticum aestivum genome assembly, contig: Triticum_aestivum_CS42_TGACv1_scaffold_404442_5BL
CAAGUACUCCCUCCGUCCGGAAUUACUUGUCAUCAAAAUGGAAGUGUCUAGAACUAAAAUACAUCUAGAUACAUCCAUUUCAAUGACAAGUAUUUUCGGACGGAGGGAGUACAAG